rnacentral:rRNA from 1 species
AGAGCGAACGCUGGCGGCAGGCCUAAUACAUGCAAGUCGAGCGGGUGUAGCAAUACACCAGCGGCAGACGGGAGAGUAACACGUGGGAACGUGCCCUUCAGUUCGGAACAACCCAGGGAAACUUGGGCUAAUACCGGAUACGUCCGUAAGGAGAAAGAUUUAUCGCUGAAGGAUCGGCCCGCGUCUGAUUAGCUUGUUGGUGGGGUAAUGGCUCACCAAGGCGACGAUCAGUAGCUGGUCUGAGAGGAUGAUCAGCCUCACUGGGACUGAGACACGGCCCAGACUCCUACGGGAGGCAGCAGUAGGGAAUAUUGGACAAUGGGCGCAAGCCUGAUCCAGCCAUGCCGCGUGGGUGAUGAAGGCCCUAGGGUUGUAAAGUCCUUUAACGGGAAGAUAAUGACGGUACCCGUAGAAUAAGCCCCGGCUAACUUCGCGCCAGCAGCCGC